ensembl:lncRNA novel transcript
AGUGGUGCUUACACUGAAAUGGGAAUGGCACAGAAAAAUAGAAUGUGGCUGAGAAUAUGGCAGAGCUUGUUUUGGUUCUUUCCAUCUGAUCACUUCAUCCUUCCAGGCACUGGGCAUCCAGAGUUAAAUAGAUGCAACCCCUGCUGUGGAGAAGCUUACAGUGCCGUGAGAGGAAGUGACAGAUAUACACUGAAUGCCUGCUAAGUGCCUGGCUCCAUUUUUGGACUGGAAAUGUGAGUGAAUUCUCAUGAGAUCUGAUGCUUGGCACUUCUCCUGCUGCUGCCAUGUGAAGAAGGAAGAAGGACGUGUUUGCUUCCCCUUCUGGCAUGAUUCAGACACCCCUGGCCUACUUCCAAGACACUGUGAUGGAUACGCCUCUUCCUGAAGCAUGGUGCAGCAUGGAGAGGUUCUUGUGAGGAUUAAAUGAAAUGAUGUGCAUGCUGGCAGUGUCUUUGCUUUGCCGGUAACCUUUGCAAAGAUGGAAAAGUGCACUUCAUUACCAGGAUGAAAACCAUACUAUUUCAUGACCAUGCACGGAGACAGAGUUUAGAGGAAGGGUGAGAGGGAGCUCUCCUUCUCACGCAGAUGGAGAUGUUACUACAUGUAAGAGAGUUUUAGACAGUGACUUGAAGUGCCACACCUCCCUUUCCAAAAAAAAAAGUAAGUUUUUUCUUGUUCCUUCUUUGAAAAAUGGGGCAAGAGCUUUCUAAAUGGAUGUAUAUGUCCAAGCUUUAGGUAAGAUUUAAAAUGAAUUUGAAAGAAACCAUAUCCUCUUCUCAUACCUUUCCCUUCUGCUGGGUUCAGCAAUAUCUAUGAUCCUUUUCUCCUUCCUUCCCUCCCUCCCUCCCUCCCUCCUUCCCUCCCUUCCUCCUUCCUUCCCUCCCUCCCUCUCUCCCACCUCCCUCCAAUCCUUCUUUCCUUCCUUCCUUCCUUCGUUCCUUCCUUCCUUCCUUCCUUUCCCGUAUUUGUACCACUUUAUUUAUUUAACACAUGGAAUUUUAGAACAAUUUAAUAUAAAUUGAGAAAGGUGACAUUUGUACUUGUUAAUAGCACAUAUAAUUUCAUUUCAAAAAGUGUAUAAUAGAAAAGACUAGAAGGAAAUCUGCCAAAGUAUUGACAGUGGUUUCCUCCACUGGUAAGUAGGUUCAUAAAGAACUUCUUUUGGUAUUUUAUUAAUUUUAUUUUUUAAAACUAUUGUACAAAAAUUUGACUUAUUUUGGUGUACAGUUCUAUGAAUUUCAACAUAUGAAUUUGCAUAACUGCCAUAUGGCUGCUUUCUCUCCUCCUUUUACCCUCACCCGGCCCUCUCAGUCUUUCCUACUUCUUCUCCCCUCUCUCUGUCCAUUCCUUCCUGCUUUCCUUGGCUGGCUUGUCUUUCUCUAAAUGCCAGUGUUUCAGCUUUUUUACUUUUAUUUUUUAAAGUAGGGACUCUAUCCUAAUGGUGUUCUUAUUCACUCAUAUAUUAUCUUAUUACCUUCAUGCCAAAUGGCCCCCAAACUAUAUCUCCAAUCCAGAUGUCUCGGUUCCACUCCAGAUCCACUUGCUGCACACCUUUUGGACAUCACCGGGAUGUCCCAUAAAUAACUCAAACACUACAUGUCACCAACUAAAUUCAUUGUUUCUUCCUGUUGUGGGUGUGUCUCUGGCAUUCCAAAUCUCUCUUAACAGGGACACUGGAAACCUCACCUCCCGAGCUGGAAACCUCAGGAGCAUUUUUAUGCUCUUUCUAUUGCCUCCUGCAUAAAUCAAUUGCCAAGUCCCGUGUGUGGUGUUGGUGUUUUAGGUGUGACUCUUGAUCCAUUGCCAUAUGUCUAUCCUCAUUGUCUUUUGCCUUAGUCUGGGCUCUCUGCCUUGCCAUGGUUGUGAGCGUUCACUUUAAAAACCUCCUAAUUGGUGUCUUUGUCUCUAGCUUCUCUUGUCUCCUAUCCAUCCUUCCCAUGGCCAGCAUGGGAUUCAUCUUCAUCAAACACAGAUGUGAUAUUACACUCUUGUGCUUAAACUCCUUCCAUAGCCAUGGGAGGGCGUUCCAGGUGCUAGCUAGAGCUUCCAUGAUGGCCCUGUGAAACUUUGUGAGUCUCAUCUUCCUCUGCCCAGCUCCAUGGCCCAACUCCUCUCUCAAGAUCCACUACGUAAAUGGGGCACCCCAACACUAUGCUCAGAGAGCCCUUGCAUGUUCCUCAAACCAGAAACCUUCCACUCUAUUGUCAAGAAUGAGUUAAAAAUUCCCUGUUCUCAACUCUUCCAGGAAAUUCUAAUUGUGCUUUAUUUUGGACUCUCCUGCAUGCUGACCACAGGGAGGUGGGAAGUUACUCUCCAGAGGAGAUGAUCUGAACCUAAAGGACCUUCACAAUAUGAGAAAUGUCCAAAAAAUAACAGAAUGAGAUAAGGACCAAGAGAAAGAUGGAGUAAGAAAUAGAGAAGGAAAAUGAAGGUUAAAAAACCAGAGGAUGAUGGGAGAUCAGUUCUGGAACUACCUUUUAAUAAGAGAGUUUCACAGCAUGUGCUCCAAAAGGAAUUGCAGAGCGAGGCUCCAGGCCGUAGGCAAGCCGCAAGCAGCAGUUUUACCACGAUGACAUGAGGAGAGCUGCAUAAAUACCACCGAUGUCAAGGUCCCCAAGAUCUGGGGGGAGAGGGAGGUCUCCGUCAAGGGUCUAGGGGGCCAUGUGCAGGAGCUGCCAAUAACAAAGAGGCUUCUGUUCUCACUGGCCUGUCCUCCACCCUGGCCCAGAGGCACAGUCAUUCAUUUGACCUUCCUUCUGCUGUGUCUGUGUGAAGACCCCCACUCCAAACUACUUCAAUGGCAAGAGGCGACUGGGAACAGCUGGGAACUGUUGUUAGCUUCUGGCAACAUCCUGGAAUUUCUUCCUUGUGGAUCCUGUGCCCCUGAGCUGCUGGGGGCCCCUGACUUGACCUGGAGUUGAACUUAGCUGAAGGGUCCAGGGCUAGGGGUUGCCUCCUUGUCAGCCCUGAUAGUAGCAUGAAAUUACACAGUCUUUCCAAGAAAGCCGAGGCUGCCUUUCUAGCCAUUCCUGGGGUGGAAAGACUAUCAGAGGCUAUGUUUUCGGCAAAUCCAUUCAUGUUUUCCAAGGGCAGGAUAGUGCAGGAGAGAGUGACCAGAUAAGACACUCGCUUUUGUUCACAAACACCCUGAGGAGGUCCCUUAAGAGAUAGCAAAGCUUCUGGUGGGGAUGAGGCAGAGAAGGUUUGCUUCAGAUAAGAUGCUAGUCGAGGGACAAUUGUUGUUUUCAAGGGAGGAGAUACAAAACAUCCGUUAAUGGGGUUUGUCCAAGGAUGAACUUUUCAUUCACAGAAUUAGAGAAUGGGGAGUUGCAGCAAUUCUACUCUAACUCUUUCUUUUAAAACACAAGCAAAAAGAGGCCAAGAGAGGGGAGGUGACUUUAUCUAGAUCCCACAGCAAGUCAGGAGUAAAGCUCUGUGUAGGGUUGGAUGCUCUGACAUAAAGUCCACUGCUUUUAACUACUAAGUCCCAAUAUUUCACCUCUCCAUCUUGUCAUUUCUCUAUGUCUUUAUUUAUUAACGAGUCCAUCCACCCAUUCAUGCAUUCCUUUAUGUGUUUGCUCAUCAAUGUUUAUUCAGAGUACAGAGAUGACUGACAGUUCCUCAAGGAAUGGAUGAUGUCAUGGAGGAGCCGCCCAUGAAUGUAUAGCAGAGGGACUAGUCAAGCAGCGUGGGAGAGGCAGAGACAGGGCAUUAUCACGGUGAGAUUGAAGAAGGCUUCAUAGGGAGGAUGGCUCUGGAGCUGAGUCUUAAGGUGGAAAAGGAUUGCAUUUGUUGAAUAAGAGGAGAAACGCUUUAGCACCGUACUUUUAGAAGUGGCAUGAAGAAUGAAUUGAAGAAGUGAGACGUUGGCACCAAAGAGAUGAGUUAUAGCAGUUGGUUCAUUCCACAAAUCAGCGAUACAUGCUUCAUGUCUUCAGAGGCCAUCCAUGGUGUUGGCCACUGUGGGGAUGUCAAGUUGUAAAGACCUGGACCCUUUCCUUAAGGAGCUGAACUUGCCAAAACACAAAUGUGCUCAAAUAACAUAAUGAAACGCAAAAUGAACACAGGACUAGAAACUGUGAGCUCUGGAUUUUAGUCUCGCUCUGGUAUUGAUCUCCAUGGUGUUUUGGGGCCUUGAAUAUUUCCUUACCUGUGAGAUGGUGAGGUUAGGUCUGCCUUCCUGUCCCAGGGAAAAGGCAAAGGCAGUGUCCAUCUCUAGCCUAUUCCUUCUUGGUUGUAUGAUCAUGAGAAGUCAUUUCAUCACACUGGAGCUCAAGUCCUCAUUUUUAAUGUGGGGGGAGUAAAAGCUUGUCCCACGGAGUGUGAGGAUGAUCUAAAACAGCUGCAGGAGAGUACAGAGCAUGCUACCUGGAAGAGAGUCAGCCUCUAACAAAUGCUCAUUCUUUGUCCCACACUCCCAUGGCUCUGUUUUUUCUUGGAAGGGGUGAAUGGAAUCAAGGAUGGUAAUACAUAUGAAAUCUCGUUAAAAUAGGAAGUGCCCUCCAUAAAUGCCAGGGGAAUCCCAUGUAGAUUUCUACAUAGGAGAGUCUGGGGGGGCUCUUAAGGCUGAUCUCUGGGAGGAUCUGUGCCUCUCCUAGUGUCCUGUCUUUCUUCUGGUUCUAAGUCUCUGGACAGGCCUUCCCCAGGAGGGCUCCUUGGUCAAAGGAACUCCUUUCCCAGAAGCAUGCAGAAGGUGACAGGCACAAACACAAAGACAGACUGUCCUUGGCUUUCUGGAGCAGAGAUAGCUUCAGACAUUCUGCCUCACUCUUAUGGGGACCUGUCAGCCCAGUUCUUGGGUCAGAAAAUGGGUUCAUGGUAGGUUAACCUAAGCCACAACCAGUAACGACUACUUUUCUCUAAUGGUUCAUCAAAGCCUUUUGACCCUUCCUUCUCCAUUGCUCUACCAUCCACCUCCACUGUUCCAGCCUUCCUGCAGCUCCCACGUACUGCAUGCCUUCGUCACUUCCUGCUUUGCCUCUGGCGCUAGCGUCCGACUGUUCUUCCCUUCUUCCAGUCCACCUUUCUCACCACAACUAAAAGAACGUUUCUGCUUUGAUCACAUGAUUGCCGUGGAAGUGAAACAUGCAGAGAACCCCAAGGGGUGAGGAGGCUGCAGCCCUUUAUUUGGCUGGACUUUGUCUUGAGAGCUUCUCUGCCCUUGCUUUGCUUUGUUUAUAUAGAAACAGGUAUUUCGUUAUAAUUCCUUUUUUUUUCUGCAGAAAGAUUAAGUGCAAACACUUGGCAUUCAAGGCAACCCCUCAGGGAAUCCAGCUUUUCCAGCUUUCUAUGACAAACUCCUUCAAGUACAUUGUAGUGAUUAAGGGCAUGGACUUUCAAUCCUGACUAUGUUCAAGUCUUACCUCUGCUGCCUAUCAGCUAUGUGAUCUUGGGCAAGUUACUUAACCUCUCUAUGCUUUGACUUCCUUAUCCAUACUUUGGGAAUAAUAAUACUCCAUACCUCACAGGGUUAUUGUGAGGGUUAAAUGAGAUUAUCUAUAUAAAGUUCUUAGAACUUUGCUUAGCACAGUAAGUACUCAAUAAGUUCUAUCCAUUCCAGAAACCUCCACCCUAGCUAAAUUCAUCUCUGUUAACAGCCGCACAUGUGCUUUUGACUUUCCUGCCUCUGUGAUUUCAGCUGCUCCUUUCACCUGCCUGCAAUGAUCCCUCUCUUUCCUUUUGGCUUUAUCCAAGCUCUCCUUGUCCUCUAUUGCUAAGGAAACUCAAGCAAUUUCUCAGGACCUCUAUGGCUAAGGAAACUCAGGUAAUUGUUCAGGAGAACGAGACAGAACUCACCCUGGUUCCUACAGCUGAGUUACUGUGGGAGGUCACCUGGCUUCUCCACAUUUCAGCCUUCCCCUUGGUGAAGUGCAGAUACUUAACACAGACCUUGUGAAGUCAUUGAAAGAAAAAUUCUCAAAUUCUGGCAGAUAGUAGGUAUUUAAUGAAUGAUAGAUAUUAUUAAGCCAAGCUAGUCCUUCCUACCUGAACUUUUCCCUCUGAACUCUUCUAGUAAUUAUUGAUUCCAUCAUUUAUCUGGUCAUUCAUUGACCAUGUAGUACUUUGUAUCACCUCAUCUUUUCUUUCUUUUUGUCCUGCUUGGAAUGAUUACUGUAAUCUUAUGACUGCUUAGUUUUUUAAACAUGCAUAGUAUCCUCCUCACUGCAUUGGGGUUUCCUGGCGGGAAGACCCUGCACAGACAUUUGUAACGUGACCAGAGUUUUAAUGUGCAAUCCCUCCAUGCUAGCAGCUUGGUGAGGUGCUUACAUUUUGUAGGACUUCAUAGGCUUUUUGCUGUGGUAUGUCGGCCUGGUACAGCCCAGGGCUUUGAGGCUGCAGCUCUCUCUUAAGUGUUUAUUUUUUGCACCUUUGCCUUUGGGCGAUGGACUCCCCCACCUAAAGCUUUGGACUUUUCCUGGCUGCCUCAUUGACCAGUUGUGAGGCUGACACCAGCCUGUGAGUCCAGAGCUGGGUCAGAGCAGAUAAGGGCUUGUUCUCAGAACCAGCAUGGUGAUCACUGUGUGUCUUCUCCUUAUUUUCUUCUCUGUGAAAACAUGUGCCUCGUAAUUUGUGUUCUGAGAAAUAUCUCAACGGUCCUGUGCCCUAAACAUUUCCUCAUCUGAGAUAAGGCCUGGAUGUUGGCUCUAAGGAGGGAAAAAGGUACAGUGGAGAGGAAGUUCUGAUCAGCAGGAAGAUUUCCCAAGCAACGACACCGCCUCUGGCAGCAAUGGCCUAGAAACUGGGCUGCCUUGGUGCAGACCGAGACCAAGGCCAUUCCCAAAGGAGAGGCUGACAGCAUUGCCCAGGCAUCCUCUUCCCUGCCAGGCAUGGACCUUCUGAGGGAUGUGGGGGCUACUGCACCUAGAGAGAGGCACUGGAGCCUGAGAAAUCAGUGCUUUGAGGCCUCAGUGGUGGGGCUGGUGGCUGAGGCUGCUACUGGUGGAGUUGACGGGCCCUGGAUAAGACCCAGAGUUCAAGAUUCUGGUCUUGGCCAUCAGUUCCUCACUGUGUGAUCCUGGGCAUGUCACUUAAUCUCUUUGGAACCCAGUUUCUUGCCUAGAAAAUAAGUAUGUCUUAUCAGUGGUUUUAAAUUUUUAAUUAUUUAAAAAAUCAUCAGAAUGCUUUAGAACUUUUUUUUCCAAAAAGAAUUGUAUGCAUAUUCCCAGUUGAUACAACAGAUAAAAAGAACAGUCCUGUAUGGAGGAGUUUGGGCCACCAGGGGCCUGUGCCCAGGUCCUUCCUGUCAUUCCAUGCUGCCAUGCCUGUUCUGUUCCCCGGGACAUGUUCAUGCAAACCUGGCUUCCCCAACACAUUUUAAGCCCUCUGGACUAGCUUUGUCCCCAGCUUUGUGUUCUGGGCCUACCAGUCAGCUUGGCUGAUUUUCCCCAGGUCAGUGGUGAUGGGAGAGCAGUGCUGGUGUGCGGAGAGAGGGCAAAUAUUUCACCAAAGGACCAAGUCCCAGACAAAUCAGAGAGGAUGCUGGUCAGUGUGCAUUGGUUGAAUAUCAGUACCAGUUUUGUGUCAGAAUGAGCUGUGAAAUUUUUAACAAAUACACCCUUCAGGGUCUAUCCAGCUUCACUUGAAUCAAAAUUUGGGGCUAUUAUUUUGAAAAAUAGGAAAUAGGUAUGUGCAGCCCCUCCUCCUAACAAAUAGGCAACCCCAAAUCAAAAUACUAAAACCUUGAUUCUGGAGCUUUGGAUGGGUGGGUGGUCUCCAGGAGGUAUCGUCAGAAUAAAAGGGGUCUUAAGUUAACUUGGAGCAUGGCAAGGGCAAGAAUAACACCAAUAAUAUGAUGAAGUACUUACUCUGGAAUAGGUUCCAUGCUUAACAUACCAUGAAAUAGGUGGAUACUAGUUUCCUAGGGCUGUUUUAACAAAUGACCACAAAGCUUCAUGGCUUAAAAAAUCCCCCAGAAAUUUUUUUGCUUAGAGUCCUGGAGGCCAGAGUACAAACUCAAGGUGCUGGCAGGGCCACACUCACUCUGAUGGCUCUAGAGGGGACUUUGUCUUAGCCUCUUUCAGCUUAGGGAGGUUCCAGGCAUUCUGUGGCUUGUGGCUGGAUAACUCCUACCUCUACCUUCAUCUUUCUUUGCGUGGACUUUUCUUCUUCUCCUGGUGUCUGUCUUUCUGCGGUCAUAAGGACAUUUGUCACUGGAUUUAGAGACAACCUAGAUAAUAUAGGAUGAUCUCAUCUCAAGAACCUUUACAUAAUUACAUCUGCCAAGACCUUUUUAUCAAAUAUGGUCACGUUCAGAGGUCCUAAGGAUUAAGAUGUGGACACAGGUAUUGAGUGAGGGACAGCAUUUAACCCCAACUUGUUAUUAACACCAACUUAAAGAUGAGAAAGCCCAGGUCUAGUCCAUGGAGGUAACCUGCCCAUGGCCACACCGCUGGUGAGUGGCAGAGCUGGGCUGGGACUCACCCUCAGGUCUGCUUUAUGCUUGUCUUCUACAGAGCCUGUCACACAGACGUCCAGGGAGUAUGUGGACCAGGCAGAUGCAGGACAAUCAUUGGUGCCAGCUUGCAAGACUCUGCCUUGCCUACAGAGGGUGCUCAAUGCCUGUCUGUUAGAGAGGUAGUUCUUGAUUCUGAGACCUUGACCAGGACUUCUAGGGCAUAGUGAAUUAAUCUACCUGCCUCUAUAUCUUUAGGAUAGUGCAGGAAAUGUCGGAUAAAUGAAACUGAAUGCCUGGAAGAAGAUAAUGUUCUCAUAUGUCCGUGGACCUUUAUAGGGUCGAUAGCUUAUAGUUAGUGCAUAGAUGCUAUGGAAAAAGGCUGUAUGGGAAGACAGGGAUUCCUCUGAGAGACCCAGGUCCAUGCUUCCCUUCUUGCUCUAGCCACAAUCUGCUUGAGGGACUUCAGAUCCAUCACCCUGCCUCGAUUUCCUAGUAUAUAAAGUGAGGCUACUAAUGGAUUUCACAGGGUGUUUUCAUGUUUUGUUGACAUACAGGGAUCGGUCUGAAGGCAAGGGGAAGUAAAAGAUAGAAUUUCCAAGCUCCUCCUAGCCCUAGGGUUUUAGAAAAAAAAAGUUAAUCAUAUUUUGCACCAGCAGAUGUAAGCACAUAUUGUAACUGUGAGAAUAACAUGAAAUAGAGGACAAUCAUGCUCUUUUACUUGGAUUAGGUCAAGAAACAUUUUGCUUAAACUUCAAUUAGAGAGAUGGAAGUUAGACAAGAAUCCCUUUGUGAUGUCAGCAGAUGUAUUUCAUGGGAAUGGGGGAUGAGACAGACUUCUCAGAGGAGAGUUUGGGAAGGAAGAGGACUGUGGGGUGCAGAGGGCGGGAACGAAGCCUGUUGAAACAUUUUGACAUAAGGAAGACUUUUCAAACCAUUAAAGCUGUGAAACCCAGCAAUAGGUGACUUGGAAAUAUGACAGGGCCUUGCAAUCAACAAAACAGAGGCCAGAUUCUGAAACCAUUGUGUAUUAUUUGAAAGUCAUUCUGCCUCAUAUAUACCUAUUUUUUUACUGAGAUGGAGUUUCGCUUUUGUCGCCCAGGCUGGAGUGCAAUGGUGCGAUCUUGGCUCACUGCAACCUCCGCCUCCCGGGUUCAAGCAAUUCUCCUGUCUCAGUCUCCCAAGUAGCUGGGAUUACAGGCAUGCACCACCACGUUCAGCUAGUUUUUGUAUUUUUAGUAGAGACGGGGUUUCACCAUGUUGGCCAAGCUAGUCUUGAACUCCUGACCUCAGGUUAGCCACUCGCCUCGGCCUUCCAAGGUGCUGGGAUUACAGGCGUGAGCUACUACAUGUGGCCUCUGCCUCAUAUUUAUCCAGCCAGUGUAGACCUGGGAUUUGGAGUCAGACAGAUCUGUGUUAAGUUCGUGCAUUGUCAUUUGCCAAUUUUUGACCUUGUACAAGUUACUUAACCAUCCUGAGCCCCAGGUUCCUUGGCUGUGGUAGUGAUAUAGAGCACCUCUCUCCUGAGGUUGUCUGUAAGGAUUAGAUGAGCCAAGGCAUGGUAUAUAAUGGUACUUGGCAUAUAAGAAGCAUUUAGAAGUUCUGAUAUAUGUGUAGGAAACCCCAUCAUCCUUGUUUAUGCCAUGUGAGCAGUUUGACAAAGCUCUGAGUUGAGGCAGGAGAGUCAUCAUGCUAUUUAAUGACAAAUGCUUUCAGUGUUUCAAAAUGGAGGUAAAUGGAAACUUGAUGUUUUUCUCAAACACCAUUAAGUUGAGGCAAGGCUUGGAGGAGCCUCAGGAAGUUCUCCUUUCCUGUGACUGCGGGUCUCGGGAACGGUGUUGGAAUGCCCCUGCCCGCUGGCUUCCUUCUGCUGCUUUGGGGCCUGUCUGCAGACAGGCCAGAUCCCAGUCAUCUGAAACACCACUCAGAAGGCAGGAAUGUGCAAUCCGUUCCAAGCUGGAAGUGACUUUCAUGUGACAGGCCGCACCACUCUGUGACUCUGUAACUAAUUUUCCCUGCCCUGGAAGCUCUCCAGAUUCCUGGGAUGUGAUCAAUUGAGGAAACCACUUCAGGUCACAUUCAGGAGAGUGCUGUAUCUGGAAUUGGGUGUGAGAGCUCCCAGCAUGUGGAAAAUUCAGACUCCAAGUUUCUUUAUGUUUUUUUCUACUCUUUUCAGGCUGGUCUUGUUAGGUAAGGAACAUGCAAAGAAACCCUCAAAGUUGAAAGAAGUUAAGACAAAAACAAGAGCUGGAAUUCCUUGACUGAAGAGGUCAUUGUACAUGGCAAACAAAUGCUCAGCUUAUCUUUACUUAACUGAAAUAAACGGAACUAAACUG